UUCAAGAGCUAUAACCAUUUUUUGGAGCAUUCCAAAAACACAGAGUUACUACACAGCACAAAGAAUAUGAAUGUAAAAUUAUUGAAGAUUUUGAUUUUUUUCUAUAAACUCUUACCUUUGGAAAGAAGGAAAGGUGCUGUCUAAGCCAAAAGGAUCAAAAUAUUUUGAGCUGUUUUAUUUUAAUGGCAUCAGCCAAGAAAACAGAAAUUGAGCUGAGCGUUAUGAUGAAGAGAAUAAAAAGGGCAAUGAAAAAGCUGAAGAUGGCAUGCAAAAAGUUGUCAAGUCGAAGAUGAGGCGCAAACUUGGAGUUGCAAAGUCUGCUGGCCAAGGAAGCUUUCAGAAACAGGUCAAGGGAGCACCAUUGUAUAAGGCUCUCCAUCCCUCCUCCUCCCCCAGAUCAAAUCAAUGGAAGGACCUAGAACAUAUUACACUGAAUGAAUCACAAAGAAGCUUUCCCCAAAGUACACUGAAGAUGGGGAAACAAUGAUUCUAAAGAUUGGAGAGCCCCACAUUUGGCUUCUUCUGAGAACAAGAAGGUCUUCAUGAAUACCCAUCACAAGAAGUGGUUAAACAAGUGAAAAAUAAUUUGCUGGGACAAAUACAUAAGUUUUUUUUUUUUUAAAUGUGGAUUUUUUAUGGCACUGUCAUACAACCAUUCACCAUUGAAGUUAAGUGUUUUUUUAAUACCAUUACCGAACUGCUGAAAUGGAUGCUAAUAUAGCUUGGAGUGCUAAUGUCAAGUCCUGGUAAUAAAAAAGACAGACUGCUGAAUGAAAUAAUUUCAAGUAAAAAAUAGAACAAAAGUGCUCUCUCUCUUGCUCUCCACUUUUAUUGAAUUGGGACUGACUGAGCCAAUUGCUUUAGAAGUCUGUAAAACACAAUUACUAGUGAGCGCACUGACCCACCAGUGCCCCCUCAGUGACAGAGCAGACUAAAAAGGCAGCAGAGUUGAGCGGCUCUUUUCUGCUGGCCCUCAGGUCCGAGAGGCUUCCUUCU